rnacentral:rRNA from 1 species
AGCUCCAAUAGCGUAUAUUAAAGUUGUUGCGGUUAAAAAGCUCGUAGUUGGGUUUCUGCCGAGGAUGGCCGGUCCAACCUUUGGUUGUGCAUCUGGUUCGUUUGAGGCAUCUUUCCGAGGAACGCUUCUGCACUUGAUUGUGUGGAGCGGUAUUCGGUCCUUUUACUUUGAGGAAAUUAGAGUGUUCAAAGCAGGCUUUCGCCUUGAAUACAUUAGCAUGGAAUAAUAAGAUAGGACUCUGGUUCUUUUUUGUUGGUUUCUAGAGCUAGGGUAAUGAUUAAUAGGGACAGUUGGGGGCAUUCGUAUUUAACUGUCAGAGGUGAAAUUCUUGGAUUUGUUAAAGACGAACUACUGCGAAAGCAAUUUG